rnacentral:siRNA from 1 species
CGGAUGGGGGCCGGCGAUGCG